UACGUAGGUGGCAAGCGUUGUCCGGAUUUACUGGGCGUAAAGAGCGCGCAGGCGGUCAUUCAAGUCGAGUGUGAAAGCCCCCGGCUCAACUGGGGAGGGUCACGCGAUACUGAUCGACUCGAAGGCAGGAGAGGGUAGUGGAGUUCCCGGUGUAGUGGUGAAAUGCGUAGAUAUCGGGAGGAACACCAGUGGCGAAGGCGACUACCUGGCCUGUUCUUGACGCUGAGGCGCGAAAGCUAGGGGAGCAAACGGG
rnacentral:rRNA from 1 species